rnacentral:rRNA from 1 species
ACUAAGCGUACACGGUGGAUGCCCUGGCAGUCAGAGGCGAUGAAGGACGUGCUAAUCUGCGAUAAGCGUCGGUAAGGUGAUAUGAACCGUUAUAACCGGCGAUUUCCGAAUGGGGAAACCCAGUGUGAUUCGUCACACUAUCAUUAACUGAAUCCAUAGGUUAAUGAGGCGAACCGGGGGAACUGAAACAUCUAAGUACCCCGAGGAAAAGAAAUCAACCGAGAUUCCCCCAGUAGCGGCGAGCGAACGGGGAGCAGCCCAGAGCCUGAAUCAGUGUGUGUGUUAGUGGAAGCGUCUGGAAAGGCGCGCGAUACAGGGUGACAGCCCCGUACACAAAAAUGCACAUGCUGUGAGCUCGAUGAGUAGGGCGGGACACGUGGUAUCCUGUCUGAAUAUGGGGGGACCAUCCUCCAAGGCUAAAUACUCCUGACUGACCGAUAGUGAACCAGUACCGUGAGGGAAAGGCGAAAAGAACCCCGGCGAGGGGAGUGAAAAAGAACCUGAAACCGUGUACGUACAAGCAGUGGGAGCACGCUUAGGCGUGUGACUGCGUACCUUUUGUAUAAUGGGUCAGCGACUUAUAUUCUGUAGCAAGGUUAACCGAAUAGGGGAGCCGAAGGGAAACCGAGUCUUAACUGGGCGUUAAGUUGCAGGGUAUAGACCCGAAACCCGGUGAUCUAGCCAUGGGCAGGUUGAAGGUUGGGUAACACUAACUGGAGGACCGAACCGACUAAUGUUGAAAAAUUAGCGGAUGACUUGUGGCUGGGGGUGAAAGGCCAAUCAAACCGGGAGAUAGCUGGUUCUCCCCGAAAGCUAUUUAGGUAGCGCCUCGUGAAUUCAUCUCCGGGGGUAGAGCACUGUUUCGGCAAGGGGGUCAUCCCGACUUACCAACCCGAUGCAAACUGCGAAUACCGGAGAAUGUUAUCACGGGAGACACACGGCGGGUGCUAACGUCCGUCGUGAAGAGGGAAACAACCCAGACCGCCAGCUAAGGUCCCAAAGUCAUGGUUAAGUGGGAAACGAUGUGGGAAGGCCCAGACAGCCAGGAUGUUGGCUUAGAAGCAGCCAUCAUUUAAAGAAAGCGUAAUAGCUCACUGGUCGAGUCGGCCUGCGCGGAAGAUGUAACGGGGCUAAACCAUGCACCGAAGCUGCGGCAGCGACGCUGAUGCGUUGUUGGGUAGGGGAGCGUUCUGUAAGCCUGUGAAGGUGUGCUGUGAGGCAUGCUGGAGGUAUCAGAAGUGCGAAUGCUGACAUAAGUAACGAUAAAGCGGGUGAAAAGCCCGCUCGCCGGAAGACCAAGGGUUCCUGUCCAACGUUAAUCGGGGCAGGGUGAGUCGACCCCUAAGGCGAGGCCGAAAGGCGUAGUCGAUGGGAAACAGGUUAAUAUUCCUGUACUUGGUGUUACUGCGAAGGGGGGACGGAGAAGGCUAUGUUGGCCGGGCGACGGUUGUCCCGGUUUAAGCGUGUAGGCUGGUUUUCCAGGCAAAUCCGGAAAACUAAGGCUGAGGCGUGAUGACGAGGCACUACGGUGCUGAAGCAACAAAUGCCCUGCUUCCAGGAAAAGCCUCUAAGCAUCAGGUAACAUCAAAUCGUACCCCAAACCGACACAGGUGGUCAGGUAGAGAAUACCAAGGCGCUUGAGAGAACUCGGGUGAAGGAACUAGGCAAAAUGGUGCCGUAACUUCGGGAGAAGGCACGCUGAUAUGUAGGUGAAGUCCCUCGCGGAUGGAGCUGAAAUCAGUCGAAGAUACCAGCUGGCUGCAACUGUUUAUUAAAAACACAGCACUGUGCAAACACGAAAGUGGACGUAUACGGUGUGACGCCUGCCCGGUGCCGGAAGGUUAAUUGAUGGGGUUAGCGCAAGCGAAGCUCUUGAUCGAAGCCCCGGUAAACGGCGGCCGUAACUAUAACGGUCCUAAGGUAGCGAAAUUCCUUGUCGGGUAAGUUCCGACCUGCACGAAUGGCGUAAUGAUGGCCAGGCUGUCUCCACCCGAGACUCAGUGAAAUUGAACUCGCUGUGAAGAUGCAGUGUACCCGCGGCAAGACGGAAAGACCCCGUGAACCUUUACUAUAGCUUGACACUGAACAUUGAGCCUUGAUGUGUAGGAUAGGUGGGAGGCUUUGAAGUGUGGACGCCAGUCUGCAUGGAGCCGACCUUGAAAUACCACCCUUUAAUGUUUGAUGUUCUAACGUUGACCCGUAAUCCGGGUUGCGGACAGUGUCUGGUGGGUAGUUUGACUGGGGCGGUCUCCUCCUAAAGAGUAACGGAGGAGCACGAAGGUUGGCUAAUCCUGGUCGGACAUCAGGAGGUUAGUGCAAUGGCAUAAGCCAGCUUGACUGCGAGCGUGACGGCGCGAGCAGGUGCGAAAGCAGGUCAUAGUGAUCCGGUGGUUCUGAAUGGAAGGGCCAUCGCUCAACGGAUAAAAGGUACUCCGGGGAUAACAGGCUGAUACCGCCCAAGAGUUCAUAUCGACGGCGGUGUUUGGCACCUCGAUGUCGGCUCAUCACAUCCUGGGGCUGAAGUAGGUCCCAAGGGUAUGGCUGUUCGCCAUUUAAAGUGGUACGCGAGCUGGGUUUAGAACGUCGUGAGACAGUUCGGUCCCUAUCUGCCGUGGGCGCUGGAGAACUGAGGGGGGCUGCUCCUAGUACGAGAGGACCGGAGUGGACGCAUCACUGGUGUUCGGGUUGUCAUGCCAAUGGCACUGCCCGGUAGCUAAAUGCGGAAGAGAUAAGUGCUGAAAGCAUCUAAGCACGAAACUUGCCCCGAGAUGAGUUCUCCCUGACUCCUUGAGAGUCCUGAAGGAACGUUGAAGACGACGACGUUGAUAGGCCGGGUGUGUAAGCGCAGCGAUGCGUUGAGCUAACCGGUACUAAUGAACCGUGAGGCUUAACC